AAUCCUACCGCAAGGAGAUAAGCCCAUAUCCUAUCAGCUUGUUGGUGAGGUAACGGCUCACCAAGGCUUACGGGUAGCUGGUCUGAGAGGAUGAUCAGCCACACUGGAACUGAGACACGGUCCAGACUCCUACGGGAGGCUGCAGUCGAGAAUCAUUGUCAAUGCACGAAAGUGUGAACAUGCGACGCCGCGUGGAGGAAGACGGCCUUCGGGUUGUAAACUCCUGUCAGCAGGGAGGAAGGAUAGCGCUACUAAUAUCAGUGUUAUUUGACAGUACCUGCAGAGGAAGUCACGGCUAACUCUGUGCCAGCAGCCGCGGUAAUACAGAGGUGGCGAACGUUGUUCGGGAUUUACUGGGCGUAAAGGGUCCGCAGCGGUCCGGUGUGUCGGAUGUGAAAGCCCACGGGCUUAACCGUGGNAAUUUGCAUUCGAAACUACCGGACUAGAGUACUGGAGGGGAGAAAGGGAACACUUGGUGUANCGNUAAAAUGCGUAAAU
rnacentral:rRNA from 1 species